AUCCUGGCUCAGAGCGAACGUUAGCGGCGCGCCUAACACAUGCAAGUCGCACGAGAAAGGGGGCAACCCCCGGUACAGUGGCGCACGGGUGAGUAACACGUGGGUGAUCUGCCCAGAAGAAGGGGAUAACCUCUCGAAAGGGGGGCUAAUACCGCAUAGGACCACCGGGGCUUUGGCUCUGUGGUGAAAGGGGGCCUCUGUUUACAAGCUCCUGCUUCUGGAUGAGCCCGCGUCCCAUCAGCUAGUUGGUAGGGUAAUGGCCUACCAAGGCUACGACGGGUAGCUGGUCUAAGAGGAUGGCCAGCCACACUGGAACUGAGACACGGUCCAGACUCCUACGGGAGGCAGCAGUGGGGAAUCUUGCGCAAUGGGCGAAAGCCUGACGCAGCGACGCCGCGUGGGUGACGAAGGCCUUCGGGUUGUAAAGCCCUGUGGGGUAGAACGAACUGGCAUCGGGCUAAUAUCCCGGUGUCUUGACGGUACUGCCUUAGCAAGCAUCGGCUAACUCUGUG
rnacentral:rRNA from 1 species